GAAAUGCGAUAAGUAAUGUGAAUUGCAGAAUUCAGUGAAUCAUCGAAUCUUUGAACGCACAUUGCGCCCGCCAGUACUCUGGCGGGCAUGCCUGUUCGAGCGUCAUUUCAACCCUCAGGCCCCCCCGGGGCGCCUGGUGUUGGGGGACGGCGGUUCGGUUUGGGGGGGCUCGCCCCCUCGCCCACCGCCGCCCCCGAAAUGAAUUGGCGGUCCCGCCGCGGCCUCCUCUGCGUAGUAGCAAAACCUCGCAACAGGAGCGCGGCGCGGCCACUGCCGUAAAACGCACACAACUUUAAGAGUUGACCUCGAAUCAGGUAGGAAUACCCGCUGAACUUAA
rnacentral:misc_RNA from 1 species